GAUCAUGGCUCAGGAUGAACGCUGGCGGCGUGCUUAACACAUGCAAGUCGAGCGAAGCAAUUUAAGUGAAGUUUUCGGAUGGAUCUUAGAUUGACUGAGCGGCGGACGGGUGAGUAACGCGUGGAUAACCUGCCUCACACAGGGGGAUAACAGUUAGAAAUGACUGCUAAUACCGCAUAAGCGCACGGUACCGCAUGGUGCAGUGUGAAAAACUCCGGUGGU
rnacentral:rRNA from 1 species